GUCCAACCUGUAACUCCAAUUGGAAGGGUGUCAAUACCAUGCCACGGGUAAGGACAAGUGCCGAGUCACCCUCAUCUGGAGGUACUCUGAAUGAGAAUGGCGGUACCCUCAACUGGCAAGUAGAUCACCUCAUCAACCCUCAACUGGCUUGUUGAUAUCUCAACCUACGAUGGCUACAUAGUUCUGGAAUGCAAGGAUUGCUUCAAAGGAUUACACCCUCUACUGGCAGGUGAGUCCCCAUCCUCG
rnacentral:lncRNA from 1 species